UACGUAGGUCCCAAGCGUUAUCCGGAAUAACUGGGCGUAAAGCGUCUGUAGGUGGAUAGGAAAGUCAGAUAUGAAAGACCGGAGCUCAACUCCGUGUUCGUGUUUGAAACUCUCUAUCUAGAAUCACCAAGAGGUAAGCGGAAUUCAUGGAGUAGGAGUGCAAUCCGUUGACACCAUGAGGAACACCAAAAGCGAAGGCAGCUUACUGGGGGUGCAUUGACACUGAGAGACGAAAGCGUGGGUAGCGAAAGGG
rnacentral:rRNA from 1 species